UACGUAGGGAGCAAGCGUUGUCCGGAUUUAUUGGGCGUAAAGAGCUCGUAGGCGGCUUAGCAAGUCAGAUGUGAAAACUCCAGGCUCAACCUGGAGACGGCAUUUGAUACUGCUAUGGCUUGAGGUCGGUAGGGGACGAUGGAAUUCCUGGUGUAGCGGUGAAAUGCGCAGAUAUCAGGAGGAACACCGGUGGCGAAGGCGGUUCUCUGGGCCUGUACUGACGCUGAGGAACGAAAGCGUGGGGAGCGAACAGG
rnacentral:rRNA from 1 species